CCUUGGUUAGCUCAGUUGGUAGAGCGCUCCACUGGAAAUACAGAGGUCCCUGGUUCUAUACGAGGACCAGGUG
rnacentral:tRNA from 2 species